rnacentral:rRNA from 1 species
CAGUCGCCGCGGUAAUACAGAGGGUGCAAGCGUUAAUCGGAAUUACUGGGCGUAAAGCGCGCGUAGGUGGUUUGUUAAGUUGGAUGUGAAAUCCCCGGGCUCAACCUGGGAACUGCAUCCAAAACUGGCAAGCUAGAGUAUGGUAGAGGGUGGUGGAAUUUCCUGUGUAGCGGUGAAAUGCGUAGAUAUAGGAAGGAACACCAGUGGCGAAGGCGACCACCUGGACUGAUACUGACACUGAGGUGCGAAAGCGUGGGGAGCAAACAGGAUUAGAUACCCCCGUAGUCCCUGGUCUCUUAUA